AGGUUUCAAUUGUAAAUAGAGAGAUAUUUAAAAAGAUGGCACCCCUCUCGAAAGAAGAAGAGAAUUAUGUUCGAUUAGCUUUGUUAUUGAAAGGAGUGUCACCAAGAGCAGUCCGUACUUAUUUUGACAAAGAAUUUCCACCUACUCAUCUACCUUCAAUACUGAAUACAAACCACAACACUCUUCAUGACUUAAAAUUAAAGAGAGUUUUGAACCAGGCUCAGUGGAAUCUAUUGUUUCCAGCAAAUGGUAUGUUUAUAUGGCCACAGCAUCCCCAAAACAAAAAAUUUAAGUUGGACAAAUUUAAUAUAGAAUGUAUGUGUGAUUUACAUCUAUCUUAAGAAAAAUGAUCUUUUGUAUGAAGUUGCAUUACUAUCAGUACCUAUCAGUUUGGCGAUUAUUUAAAAGCCCUGUCUACAAGGUCAUGGUCAAGUGACUUCUAAUUAAUUAACAAUAUUCAAUGUUUCAUUUUCUGAUUAAGUUAGUUUGAUAAACUACUAACAAUAGACAACAAUAUUUGUCUCUGUACAAUUCAGUUUAAAACCAUAAAGUGGCCAUGCACACUAGAUCAUAGUCUAGCCACUUCGAAUCAAUUUAAUACUUCAUUCUAAAACUUUGAUUGUAACAUGUGUACCAUGAUUCUUAUACAUUAGAUGUUGCAAGUGUUCUUAUGAAGUAUGCGUUAAAAAUCUUACUUUUCAAAAAGAUAUAAAAAAUAUAAUUUUUGAUUAAAAAUAUAUUUCAUUAACUUCAAACUAAAUAUGAUAUCUCAUAUAGAAUACAAUAUAUAUUAUAUACUUUAUUAGCUAUCGUAUUUACUUUCUAAGAUAUCUUGAAACUGGAUGAAUAAAAAAAAACCAGCUUACGCUGUACCCGAUUUUAAUAUAAUGGAUCUUACAGGUGUAUCUGAUUCUAGUACUUUUAAUGUUUUAUGUGUUCCUGAUUCCAAUGUUACAGUUGAACCUAGUUCUUAUACUUGUGGUGUUACAGAUGAAAUUGAUUCUAAUACUUUCCACGUUGCAGAUGUAAUUAAUAAUGAUACUCUUGAUGUUAUAGGUGUACCUGAUUCCACAACUUUUGAUGUAACAUUAAUGAUUUGCUUGAUCAGAAACUUGA
rnacentral:lncRNA from 1 species